rnacentral:rRNA from 1 species
UACAGAGGUCUCAACCGUUGUUCGGAUUCAUUGGGCGUAAAGGGUGCGUAGGUGGCAUGGUUAGUCGGGUGUGAAAUCCCGGGGCUCAACCCCGGAACUGCACUCGAUACCGCCGUGCUCGAGUACUGGAGAGGAGACUGGAAUUUACGGUGUAGCAGUGAAAUGCGUAGAUAUCGUAAGGAAGACCGGUGGCGAAAGCUAGUCUCUGGACAGUCACUGACACUGAGGCACGAAGGCCAGGGGAGCAAACGGG